AUACGUAGGGGGCGAGCGUUGUCCGGAAUGAUUGGGCGUAAAGGGCGCGUAGGCGGCGCGGUAAGUCUGGAGUGAAAGUCCUGCUUUCAAGGUGGGAAUUGCUUUGGAUACUGCCGCGCUUGAGUGCAGGAGAGGUUAUCGGAAUUCCCGGUGUAGCGGUGAAAUGCGUAGAGAUCGGGAGGAACACCAGUGGCGAAGGCGGGUAAACGGACUGCAACUGACGCUGAGGCGCGAAAGUGUGGGGAGCAAACAGGAUUAGAUACCCUGGUAGUCCACACUGUAAACGAUGAAUGCUAGGUGUAAGAGGUAUCGACCCCUUUUGUGCCGGAGUCAACACAAUAAGCAUUCCGCCUGGGGAGUACGGCCGCAAGGUUGAAACUCAAAGGAAUUGACGGGG
rnacentral:rRNA from 1 species